rnacentral:rRNA from 1 species
UACGUAGGGUGCGAGCGUUAAUCGGAAUUACUGGGCGUAAAGCGUGCGCAGGCGGUUCGUUGUGUCGGUGGUGAAAGCCCCGGGCUCAACCUGGGAAUGGCCAUGGAAACUGGCGAACUGGAGUGUGGCAGAGGGGGGUGGAAUUCCGCGUGUAGCAGUGAAAUGCGUAGAUAUGCGGAGGAACACCGAUGGCGAAGGCAAUCCCCUGGGCCUGCACUGACGCUCAUGCACGAAAGCGUGGGGAGCAAACAGG